rnacentral:rRNA from 1 species
UACGUAGGGGGCAAGCGUUGUCCGGAUUUAUUGGGCGUAAAGAGCGUGUAGGCGGCCAGGUAGGUCAGCUGUGAAAACUCGAGGCUCAACUUCGAGAGGUCGGUUGAAACCAUCUGGCUAGAGUCCGGAAGAGGAGAGUGGAAUUCCCGGUGUAGCGGUGAAAUGCGCAGAUAUCGGGAAUAACACCCGUGGCGAAGGCGGCUCUCUGGGACGGUACUGACCCUGAGACGCGAAAGCGUGGGGAGCGAACAGG